rnacentral:rRNA from 1 species
UACGAAGGGGGCGAGCGUUGUCCGGAUUUAUUGGGUUUAAAGGGUGCGUAGGCGGUUCUUUAAGUCAGUGGUGAAAUACAGCCGCUUAACGGUUGAGGUGCCAUUGAUACUGGGGAACUUGAGUACAGACGAGGUAGGCGGAAUUGACGGUGUAGCGGUGAAAUGCAUAGAUAUCGUCAAGAACGCCGAUAGCGAAGGCAGCUUACUAGACUGUAACUGACGCUGAUGCACGAAAGUGUGGGGAUCAAACAGG